UCUAACCAGUUACUUCCAUUGCUUUGGGGUGCAGGGGCUCUUUCUAGGAUCUUUCUAGAAAUCCCCACUCCAGGCAAGUAAGAGAAGCUUGGGCCUUGGCAGAAGCUGCCCUGCCUAGCACCCUCUAGGGAAUUUCAAACAAAUUCAGUUUCUUAUUUUUCAUUCAUUCAUUCAUCCAGUUUGUAUAAGUGUUCAUUUGCUACAUGCCCAGAUACAUUAACAUGUCAACACCCCAUGUACUGCUUAUGCAGACCUGAGGUCAUAAGAACAAUUAUGAAAUCCUCCACAUCUCACUACCUUGCCAACACUGUGGAACUCAGAUUUCUUCUACCUCUCAAGGGUGAUACUGGGGGAGACGGACUCAGUACAGACGCAGGGCUCCAGGAGAUCUGUAACCAGCACUGAUUGCUACUGAUGACCUAAGGAGACCUAGAGAUGCACAGUGGGGUGUGGCAGCCACCACCCCAUGGGGCUGCUGGGCACAGAAACGAGGCAUAAAAUAGUCACCAGAGCCUGGCGGCAGCACAGCCAGAAAAAGGAGGUGACUUGGACCCAAAGGAGACACCAGGAAGGCAGCAGAGGAGGAGGAUUGCGUGAGGAUGCAGCACACAGUGCCCGUCAUCUGCAAGCCCAGGAGGGAGGCCUGAGGAGGUGCUGGCCCUGCCACAUCUUGACCUUUGAUUCCACCCCCAGAACCGCAUGGAGAGAGAGGAGAGACCCACUUCCCACUUCCAUCUGUGAGACACCCCGGGUGUGGUAUGCUGUUAGCAGCCCGAGCUGGCUGAUACAUUCACCUGUUUCCCUGGGGAGCUGAGGAGAAAGCCUGAUGACAAGAGGAAACAAUUUCCCGGGGCUGGAGAUCUGGCUUCCGGCACACAUCAGUCAGGACCUGAGUAGCUUCAGACAUUCCUCCUGUGGCCUCUGCCUGCGACCAGCCUCUGUUUCCCAGGUGCUGUGUUCAAGUGCGUCUGCCGCUGGGUCAUUUUUGGUUUGCUUUGUUUUAGAGACAGGGCCUUACUACGAGGCUCAGGCUGGCCUUGGAUUCUUGUCCCACCUCAGCCUCCUGAGUGCUGGAAUUAUGGGUGUGCACCACUACUCCUGGCUUCUGUCUCCAUGGCAACUCAUGGUCUUCUUCAUUCUGUGGCCAAGAAUGCAGAUUUAGGAGCAGUGGCAUCAGAGAACUGGCCCUGCAAGGUUUGACGGGAAGGCUGGCCUCAGGCUGUUUCUAGGUCUGUGUAAAUGCACAGAAUCCUUCUUUUCCUGUCCAAAAUUCUUUCAUUAACCUUAUUGCAUGUAUUGAAAUAUCCAUGAGACUUUGAACAUGUUUCUUAGUAGAAAGAGUUUAGUUUUCUAUAAAACUCAUUUGUGCUGGACAGGGAUGGUGACCAAUCAAUCAGAAGGGACGAUGCCAGGCCAUGUGACCUGGAGCUGACUUCGGGCUCUAAGACCAACCAGUCUGUGGCUUCCUGUCUGAGGUUUCGUCCAUUCUCCAUGGGAGACAUCUCACGGGUUGGAAGGGAAUUUGGACCAGGUUCGUCCUGAGCUGGUGAACUUCAGGAGCAGGUGAAUCGCUUUGCCAAGAUGCUGCUUUCUCACAAAGGUCAGCAAAACAGGCAUAGAUGGCUCAAGGAGCUGGGUGCAGUGGUGCACGCCUGUGAUCCCAGCACUCAGGUGGCUGAGGCAGAAGGAUUGCUGUGAGUUCAAGACCAGCCUGGGCUACAUAGUGAGUUCAAGGCCAGCCUGAACUACAUAGCAAGACCCUAUCUCAAAAAAACAAAAAUGACAACAACAACAAACCCAAAAUAAGUAAAUAAAAAACCUCAAGGAAAAUGACAUCUCCUUAGAGACUUUUGGAACUUCCUGAACAUGUGUCUGUCUCCAUACUGGCCCAGACCCAGAAUUCACUGAAGAGAGGAAAAAAUGCAAAAGACUAUGAUGGACCCAAGGAUUAUCAUCUUGGCAUUCCCUAGAACAGCUGUCUGGCAAAUGUUACACCCUGUCUGAGAUUAUUUUAUAAACUGUCUUGAAGAACAUGCAGAGGGAAUACAGACAGAUUUGCCAUCCUUUCUGUUUUUCUAUCACAGAAUAAGGAUUUCAAGGACAUGUUUACCCUUGAUACCAUCAAUGGUCUUACCAGUUUUUGAAAGUUAAAUCAUGUCAUAUCUAAUAAGUUUAUAGCUACAUGCGGCAUCAGCAAUGGGUUGAUUCCAAUAGAUACUUACGCCUUCUUUCUUUUCUUUUUGUUCCUUUUCCUCAUUAUUAUGAUAAAUAGAAUAUUCCACAGAUGUUUUAAAUAAAAUAAUUUCACCAAGUAUCACUAGGAGACUGACCUAAAUGAAAUACACGUUUAGUGGUAAAUGAAAAAUGAUAUUUGCUCCCCUAAAUACUUUACUUUCAGGACUUGCUUUUUGUCCCAAUGUCACAUUUUCUGUGUUCAACGAGACUGUGUGUGCGUAUGUGUAUGUUGUGUCAGAAAGAGAGAGAGAGAGAGAGAGCGAGCGAGAGAGA